rnacentral:lncRNA from 1 species
AGAAACCUAAGCUUUUCAUCGUGGGCACAAAAAUGGGUUCACAAGUGCAUAGUGGUUGCAACAUAAGCUGGAAUCUACAGCUUGCCAAGUUGAAACCCAUCUACUUUAAGGGCAUGUUUACAUGUCUAGGCCCAAAAUUUCAUGAGAUUCAUGGGUUGGACCAAAACAAUCAGUUAAGUCAAACUAGAUUUGACUUUUAUUUACAAGGAC